rnacentral:misc_RNA from 1 species
GAUGAAGAACGUAGCGAAAUGCGAUAAGUAAUGUGAAUUGCAGAAUUCAGUGAAUCAUCGAAUCUUUGAACGCACCUUGCGCCCUUUGGCUAUUCCGAAGGGCAUGCCUGUUUGAGUAUCAUGAACACCUCAACUCUCAUGGUUUGCCAUGAUGAGCUUGGACUUUGGGGGUCUUGCCGGCCUAUGGGUCGGCUCCUCUCAAAUUAAUCAGCUUGCCAGUGUUUGGUGGCAUCACAGGUGUGAUAACUAUCUACGCUUGUGGUUUUCCAUCAGGUAACCUUCAGUGAUGGAGGUUCGCUGGGGCUCAUAAAUGUCUCUCCUCAGUGAGGACAGCUUUUUUGAACGUUUGAUCUCAAAUCAGGUAGGACUACCCGCUGAACUUAAGCAUAUCAAUAAGGGAGGA